rnacentral:rRNA from 1 species
AUUGAACGCUGGCGGCAGGCCUAACACAUGCAAGUCGAGCGGAUGAAGGGAGCUUGCUCCUGGAUUCAGCGGCGGACGGGUGAGUAAUGCCUAGGAAUCUGCCUGGUAGUGGGGGAUAACGUCCGGAAACGGGCGCUAAUACCGCAUACGUCCUGAGGUAGAAAGUGGGGGAUCUUCGGACCUCACGCUAUCAGAUGAGCCUAGGUCGGAUUAGCUAGUUGGUGGGGUAAAGGCCUACCAAGGCGACGAUCCGUAACUGGUCUGAGAGGAUGAUCAGUCACACUGGAACUGAGACACGGUCCAGAUUCCUACGGGAGGCAGCAGUGGGGAAUAUUGGACAAUGGGCGAAAGCCUGAUCCAGCCAUGCCGCGUGUGUGAAGAAGGUCUUCGGAUUGUAAAGCACUUUAAGUUGGGAGGAAGGGCAGUAAGUUAAUACCUUGCUGUUUUGACGUUACCAACAGAAUAAGCACCGGCUAACUUCGUG